rnacentral:rRNA from 1 species
UCGAGAAUUUUUCACAAUGGGCGCAAGCCUGAUGGAGCGACGCCGCGUGGGGGAUGAAGGUCUUCGGAUCGUAAACCCCUGUCAUUUGCGAACAAACCUCUUUCGAUAACACCGGAAGAGUUGAUUGUAGCGAAAGAGGAAGGGACGGCUAACUCUGUGCCAGCAGCCGCGGUAAUACAGAGGUCCCGAGCGUUGUUCGGAUUCACUGGGCGUAAAGGGUGCGUAGGUGGUGGGGUAAGUCUCGUGUGAAAGCUCGCAGCUCAACUGCGAAAAGUCACGGGAUACUAUUCUGCUGGAGGGUUGGAGGGGGGACUGGAAUACUUGGUGUAGCAGUGAAAUGCGUAGAUAUCAAGUGGAACACCAGUGGCGAAGGCGAGUCCCUGGACAACACCUGACACUGAGGCACGAAAGCCAGGGGAGCAAACAG